AGAGUUUGAUCAUGGCUCAGAAUCAACGCUGGCGGCGUGCCUAACACAUGCAAGUCGCACGAGAAAGGGACUUCGGUCCUGAGUACAGUGGCGCACGGGUGAGUAACACGUGAAUCAUCUACCUUCGAGUGGGGAAUAACUGAGAGAAAUCUUAGCUAAUACCGCAUAAUACCUACGGGUCAAAGCAGCAAUGCGCUUGAAGAGGAGUUCGCGGCAGAUUAGUUAGUUGGCGGGGUAAUGGCCCACCAAGACGAUGAUCUGUAUCCGGCCUGAGAGGGCGCACGGACACACUGGAACUGAAACACGGUCCAGACUCCUACGGGAGGCAGCAGUGGGGAAUUUUGCGCAAUGGGGGAAACCCUGACGCAGCAACGCCGCGUGGAGGAUGAAAUCCCUUGGGAUGUAAACUCCUUUCGAUAGGGAAGAUAAUGACGGUACCUAUAGAAGAAGCCCCGGCUAACUUCGUGCCAGCAGCCGCGGUAAUACGAGGGGGGCAAGCGUUGUUCGGAAUUAUUGGGCGUAAAGGGUGCGUAGGCGGUUUGACAAGUCUUAUGUGAAAUCUAUGGGCUCAACCCAUAGUCUGCAUGGGAAACUGUCGGGCUUGAGUAUGGGAGAGGUGAGUGGAAUUUCCGGUGUAGCGGUGAAAUGCGUAGAUAUCGGAAGGAACACCUGUGGCGAAAGCGGCUCACUGGACCAUAACUGACGCUGAUGCACGAAAGCUAGGGGAGCAAACAGGAUUAGAUACCCCAGUAGUCC
rnacentral:rRNA from 1 species